GGAAAUAGAAAUUGAAUCUCACCGACUCAGUUUGCCAUACCCAGAUUUCUCUUCUUUCCCUUCCCCGAGAAGACAGAAACUUCCCUUGACUGUGAAGGGGAAGGUCACUUAGAUCCCUUUUGAUGGGGAACCCCUCCGCAGUAGAGGAUUAGGCAGAGGAGAAUGGCCGCAUGACCUCUCAGAAGGUCUAAAUUCAGCCCAGCAAAAAUUCUGAUUAACUCCCAUUGAAGGCGAUACAUUUGUAUCUUUACCCCUUUAAAUGAAGUUGACAUUGUGGGAUUUUUGAUCAUCAGAAUGCAGCAGAAGUAACAUUAUGAUAUUUCUAAGUCUUUGCCUCAGAAGACCUCACAGCUUCUGCUUUUAUUGGAACCUGAGACUACAAUGAAAAACCAUGUAGAGAGAGAUCCAGCUGUCCCACGUCUUCUAGCCAUUCCAGCUGGGGCUCAUCCAUGAACAUGGAUGAAUCUGGAGAACAUCAUUCUCAGCAAACUGACACAAGAACAGAAAAUGAAAUCCUGCAUAUUCUCACUCAUAGGCGGGUGAUGAAAAAUGAGAACACAUGGACACAGCUAAUAUAUUCACCCAGUAGCAUCCGGGCAUGGAAUUGUUGUUUGGGAAAACAACUGGGACUGUUUUCCUACUCUGAGAAGAUGUUUUGGAGCAGCUUCGAACAGAAGUUAUACGAGGCAGCUAUCCAGCAUCCAUACCAUUAAAGUAGACUUCCCCUCGUAACAUUAAGGAUCUCCUGAUACACUAAUGAGCACAGAGUCCAAGAAAAAACAAAGCAGAAGCAAGAGAAUGGUGAGAGAGAAAAACCCUGGGCUGAUGGGCAGCAAACACAAUGGAUUGUAGUAAUACUGAGCAAAAAUCUUGUGCACAAUAAUUUAUUAUAAAAUAG
rnacentral:lncRNA from 1 species